rnacentral:rRNA from 1 species
GGCGGACGGGUGAGUAACACGUGGGUAACCUGCCUGUAAGACUGGGAUAACUCCGGGAAACCGGGGCUAAUACCGGAUGGUUGUUUGAACCGCAUGGUUCAAACAUAAAAGGUGGCUUCGGCUACCACUUACAGAUGGACCCGCGGCGCAUUAGCUAGUUGGUGAGGUAACGGCUCACCAAGGCAACGAUGCGUAGCCGACCUGAGAGGGUGAUCGGCCACACUGGGACUGAGACACGGCCCAGACUCCUACGGGAGGCAGCAGUAGGGAAUCUUCCGCAAUGGACGAAAGUCUGACGGAGCAACGCCGCGUGAGUGAUGAAGGUUUUCGGAUCGUAAAGCUCUGUUGUUAGGGAAGAACAAGUACCGUUCGAAUAGGGCGGUACCUUGACGGUACCUAACCAGAAAGCCACGGCUAACUACGUGCCAGCAGCCGCGGUAAUACGUAGGUGGCAAGCGUUGUCCGGAAUUAUUGGGCGUAAAGGGCUCGCAGGCGGUUUCUUAAGUCUGAUGUGAAAGCCCCCCGGCUCAACCGGGGAGGGUCAUUGGAAACUGGGGAACUUGAGUGCAGAAGAGAGAGAGUGGAAUUCCACGUGUAGCGGUGAAAUGCGUAGAGAUGUGGAGGAACACCAGUGGCGAAGGCGACUCUCUGGUCUGUAACUGACGCUGAGGAGCGAAAGCGUGGGGAGCGAACAGGAUUAGAUACCCUGGUAGUCCACGCCGUAAACGAUGAGUGCUAAGUGUUAGGGGGGUUUCCGCCCCUUUAGUGCUGCAGCUAACGCAUUAAGCACUCUCGCCUGGGGGAGUACGGUCGCAAGACUGAAACUCAAACGGAAUUGAGCGGGGGCCCGCACAAGCGGGGGGAGC